rfam:Ovis aries breed Texel chromosome 5, whole genome shotgun sequence.
UCCCUGGUAGCUCAGAGGUUAAAGCGUCUGUCUGCAAUGCGGGAGACCUGGGUUCGAUCCCUGGGUCGGGAA